GAGGCUGAAGCAGUUGUGGCUGAUUGAUG
rnacentral:piRNA from 2 species